AAAAAUUUUGUUAAAAAUAUUACAGGCUCACAUUAUUCAUACUUAGCAUCUGUUUACUCGAUUCACUAUGGAUACAAGACUUAUCUAUGAUAUCGUAGAAAUAUACGUAUAUAUUUAGGGAUUUAUUUUUGUUCGAUACUAUAUCCAAUAUUUCAACAGAGAAACGAACGGAUAUCGUAAUAGGAUGAUAACGUUUUAUUAGUUUCUUUGAAUCAUCAACCAUGAAUCGAACGAGGGAAUAUUGGUGAAGGGACGACAUGAAGAGAGAGAGAGAGAGAGAGAGAGAGAGAGAGAGAGAGAGAGAGAGAGAGAGAGAGAGAGAGAGAGGAAGAGAGAGAGUAAAAGAAAAGAUAAAGAAA